UACGUAGGGGGCAAGCGUUAUCCGGAUUUACUGGGUGUAAAGGGAGCGUAGACGGCAAGGCAAGUCUGAAGUGAAAGCCCAGUGCUUAACGCCGGGACUGCUUUGGAAACUGUUUGGCUGGAGUGCCGGAGAGGUAAGCGGAAUUCCUAGUGUAGCGGUGAAAUGCGUAGAUAUUAGGAAGAACACCAGUGGCGAAGGCGGCUUACUGGACGGUAACUGACGUUGAGGCUCGAAAGCGUGGGGAGCAAACAGG
rnacentral:rRNA from 1 species